AGCGAACGCUGGCGGCAGGCUUAACACAUGCAAGUCGAGCGCCCGUAGCAAUACGGGAGCGGCAGACGGGAGAGUAACACGUGGGAACGUGCCUUUUGGUUCGGAACAACCCAGGGAAACUUGGGCUAAUACCGGAUAAGCCCUUACGGGGAAAGAUUUAUCGCCAAAAGAUCGGCCCGCGUCUGAUUAGCUAGUUGGUGAGGUAACGGCUCACCAAGGCUACGAUCAGUAGCUGGUCUGAGAGGAUGAUCAGCCUCACUGGGACCUGAGACACGGCCCAGACUCCUACGGGAGGCAGCAGUGGGGAAUAUUGGACAAUGGGCGCAAGCCUGAUCCAG
rnacentral:rRNA from 1 species